GGCUCUGAGUGUGGUCUGACUGUGACAUCAGCAUCCCCACUGAUUACUAGGGUUGUUUCAACUGAUUUGGCUGACUGGUCUGGGGUCCAUAUACUUCAUUCACAGCCCCAAAAGCUGGGCAUUGGUGGAGGACGAUGACAUCCCCAGGGAGAUCGAACCGUUUUUGUCAAAAUGGAAAAGACUUUUUUUUUUUUCUUUCAGAAUGCCUUGAUUCAACCUGUGACUAAAGGUCUAAUAGACUACUUUAAAAUGAAAGGCAAAAUUGUCUAACCAAAUGUGUCUGGAAAUUAUGU
rnacentral:snRNA from 1 species